GACAUCGUGCGUUUUCUCUAAAAUUGUGUGACAUGUGAAAAAUUGUGAAAAUAAAUUAACUUUAAUAACUUCAAUUUUAAAAAGUAUGUGCAAGAAACUAAUAAAGGUGCUACACCAGGCAACUGAAGAACCCUUGAACGUGUGAAAUCCUGGCGAAUGCUGGUGCAUCCGCGGAGGCUCACCUGCGCAGAACCAAACUCUUCCGUAAGCUGAAGUCAUCCCCUUCCAGGGUAUGACAACUACGAGAGUAACGAGAUUAACAAGCUGCAACUACUAGGCGAGGCAACCAGUCAGACCAGGCAAGGAAAAUCUAGAGUCGUGGCAGGAGACUUGGAUUGACAAGCGACCCAGGCGCAUUAUAAAACUUGAGUACCAUGGACCACCCUGCAAUUGGAAUCGACUCAAUUGUGUGUAGGCUCCAUGGUUCAGCAACUUCAGGGGAUCCGAUUCCGAUCAGAUGGAGUCUCACAACCAUGUCCAAUCAUCCACUGAAAAUGGGGGGCGGCACGGAAGCUGUUUUUGUGGCAAGAAAAAAAAAUGGCGUUUGUGGAUUGGGCCUGGUCUAACAUCCAGCUUUCAAGCCAAAACCGCAAAAACAACAAGGCAUUUGAUGGCCAAAUGUACCUCUACCGCAUACAACUGCCAUGAAUCACCAUCACCUGGUUGAAUGGAACGGAACGGAUCGGAUGGGAUCAGUGGUUCUGGUUUGGGCAGUGGCUUCGCCUCCGGCAGAGGAGGAACAUCCAUCAAUGUGCCGUUGACAUUGGCUUGGACCGCUGACAAGAAUUGUCACAAUAAACAAUACAACCACGACGACAACGACAACAACAAGAAUAAUACCAACGACAAGGCAGCGAAGAGGACACGUGACGGGAUCUGGAAGGGAGACCAAAUUCGGGAUGGGACUCGGAAAACAGGAGUUGGUAAAGGAAUCAGCCUGAUGAUUAGUUCGUUUCGUUUCAGACUCCUGUAAAUCUUCAAGGAUUCUGGAAGUAUUCAAGGGAUUCAAGUUUGUGAAACUCUUCAAAGAUGUUGGGAAGUAUUAGUUUCUUUUAUAUUUUUAAAAAUAUUUCCUU